UACGUAGGGUGCGAGCGUUAAUCGGAAUUACUGGGCGUAAAGCGUGCGUAGACGGUCAAGUAAGUCGGGUGUGAAAGCCCCGGGCUCAACCUGGGAACCGCGCUUGAGACUGGCAUGCUCGAGUUCGGGAGAGGAUGGUGGAAUUCCCAGUGUAGAGGUGAAAAUUCGUAGAUAUUGGGAAGAACACCGAUGGCGAAGGCAGCCAUCUGGACCGACACUGACGCUGAGGCGCGAAAGCGUGGGGAGCAAACAGGAUUGAGAA
rnacentral:rRNA from 1 species